rnacentral:lncRNA from 1 species
GUGUAGUAGAAGAUUCUUUCCAAGGAUCCUUCUCGUUGAUUGCUAUUAGGAACUGUGUGAAUUUAAGCCCAUUUAAUUAUUUCUAUGUUUUAGAUUUAAAAACCAGUAUCAGGAAGUUAUUUCACUUACUUCAUAUUUGUGAGUUCCUAUAAAGAUAAACUUUUAUUAGAUUUUAUUAAAGAACUGCAUCAUGCUUUACAAGCAUUUUCUUUAUGUGGUUAAUUUGCAUAUUCUUCAUGAUGACAGAUGAUAAUUAUUAAAAAUGUUCUUGUAGUUAAACAUAGUUACUGCUACAUCUUGGCAAAGAACAAGUCAGCCCUUAUUAGACAAGUUCAACAGGGCACCAAGAUCAAGGGGCACUUAGACAUAGCAGUGAAAGAGGAAAGAGAACUUACUCACUGACCAAUUUAACCAGAUAAGCCCUUCAAUUUAUGUCAAGAAGAUGUCACAAACAGAUGUUCAUAAAAACAAUCACUAGUGUUUUAUAGCAAUGCAAAGACAAAAUCAAAAGGGUUCCCUUUUCUCCACAUCCUCACCAGCAUGUGUUAUUGCCUGUCUUUUGGAUAUAAGCCAUUUUAACUGGGGUGAGAUGGUAUCUCAUUAUAGUUUUGAUUUGCAUUUCUCUGAUGAUCAAUGAUGUUGGGCACCUUUUUACAUGCCCGUUUGCCAUUUGUAUGUCUUCCUUUGAGAAAUAAGCCAGGUACAGAAAGACAAACAUUGCGUCUUCUCACUUAUUUGUGGGAUCUAAAAAUCAAAACAAUUGAACUCAUGGACACAGAGAGUAGAAGCAUGGUUACCAGAGGCUGGGAAGGGUAGUAACGAGGGUGGAGGAGAGGCGGGAAUGGUUAACAGGUACAAAAAUAACAGUUAGAAAGAACGAAUAAGACCUACUAUUUGAUAACACAACAGGGUGACUAUAGUCAAUAAUAACUUAACUGUACAAUUAUUUUAAAAUAUUGGGAGGCUGAAACCAUGGGAUCUGAAUGCUGCUAAAUGAUUCUCCAAAGCACAUGUGCUAAACUCUCUUUGGUUGUAGGUAGCAUAUUGAUGCUCACCGAUUCUGCUGUCAUUAUGAGUACAAUGCAAAGCAAAAGGCUUCUUCCUUUUUUUAACUUUUAAGUUCAGCAAAUGUGCAGAUUUGUUACACAGGUAAACUUGUGUCAUGGGUGUUUGUUAUACAGAUUAUUUCAUCAUCCAGGUAUUAAACCUAAUGCCCAUUAGUUAUUUUUCCUAAUCCUCUCUGUCCUCCCCCAACCUUCCAUCAUUCAACAGGCACCAGUGUGUGUUGUCCCCUCUAUGUGCCCCUGUGUUCUCAUCAUUUAGUUCCCACUUAUAAGUGAGAAUAUGUGGUAUUUGGUUUUUUGUUCCUGUGUUAGCGUGCUGAGGAUAAUGGCUUCCAACUUCAUCCAUGUCCCUGCAAAGGACAUGAUCUCAUUCUUUUUUACGGCUGCAUAGUGUUCCAUGGUGUAUAUGAACUACAUCUUCUUUUUCUAGUCUAUCAUUGAUGGACAUUUAAGUUGAUUCCACAUCUUUGCUAUAUUGCAAAUAGCGCUGCAAUGACCAUACCCAUGCAUGUAUCUUCAUAAUUGAAAAAUUUAUAUUACUUUGAGUAUAGACCCAGUAAGUGGGGUUUCUGGGUCGAAUGGUAUUUCUGUCUUUAGAACGUUGAAGAAUUGCCACACUGUCUUCCACAAUGGUUGAAGUAAUUUACACUUCUACCAACAGUAUAUAAGCAUUUCUCUUUGUCUGCAACCACGCCAGCAUCUGUUAUUUUUUGACUUUUCAACAGUGGCCAUUCUGACUGUUGUAACAUAGUAUCUCAUGGUGGUUUUGAUUUACAUUUCUCUAAUGAUCAGUGAUGUUGACCUUUUUUUUUUUUUUCAUGUGAUUGUUGGCCACAUGUAUGUCUUCUGCAAAAGGGCUUUUUCUAAGGCAUGGAAACUUCCCUUUUACUUCUCAGUUUGUUGUUGAUUCAAUUUUGUUCUAAUUCACGCUAAAUCAUUCACCCUUAUUCUACUGAAUAACAAAAAAGACAUGAGUUUUCCUUAGAAAAACCACAUGAAGAACAAAAGCAUUUAAAAACGAAGGCUCUGAAAUACCUAAAUUGGUUCAUCACUAAAUUAAGCACUUAUUAAUUCUGAGAGUUUGUCAAGUUUAUCAAAUCUCUCUUAGCUUCAGUUUGAGAAUUUGUGAAAUGGUAAAUCAUGUCUACUAAGGGAUUGCUGUGUGUAUUAAAUGAGAUAAUACCUGUAAUACAAGGUGGUAUGCCUAUUAUUUAAUUCUAAGUAAAUUUAUGCUCUUCAUUUAUAAUUUCAUUAUUUGUGCUUAUGAGUGUUGAAAGAGCAUAAACAAUUUAAUGCAGCUCAGAAAUAAAAUCCAUUAAAUGAUAUGAAAAUAGACAAAAGUCACAAAAUACCUACCCUGAUGGUGUUAGGAUAAGGGAAAAUGCAUGAAAACAAGCUUGCUGGAAAGCAUUACCUUCAUAUAAAACCCUAGAGGGAAAUAGUCCAUCUACAAAAUAAUUGUUCCAUUUAUUAGGAAAAAAGAUAAAUCCUACUGAAACAACUUAGGAAGUGCCUCUCAAACUUGCUAGCUCAUUUGUGUGUUUUUUUCACAAUUUCUUGAGUGUCUAACAUGUGUCCAGCACUGUGCUGGAUCAUCAAUAUGCAAUGGAGAACACAGCAGACUUGAAUAGUGCCCCCAUAUAAUUUACAUUCCAAUAGGGCUGUCCUGAUUCCAUCAGCAUGGUUCAGCAACAUUAUGUUUAUAUGUUUAGAUAACUCUGUUGUUCUGUAUAAUAUACUUUCCUCCACAGAAGGCCUAAUUUCAUCUCCUUUCAAGUUUGCCUACACCAAUUCUAAAACAAGAACAGCAGUUUUCCACAUUACGAAUAUUCUUUAAAUUUAUGACUAUUGUCUAUCAUGAAGAAAAGCAACCAAAUUCAUAUUUUGGAGAAUAGUUCUCAGGAAGAAAAAAAAUAGAAGUUGGUUGUAGGAAAAGUUAUAUUAAAAGAAUGAGGCUUUCAAGAAAGUUCAAUACCUUCAACAAUUUUGCGUUAAAUGAUAUGAAUUUGUCCUUCCCUUUUCUGGAGAGCCUCUGUCCGCAGAAAUUUGAUUUCAUAUUUUAAAGGGUUGUUUCCUAAUGGUUUGGUGGUACACAGUACUCCUAUCUGUUCUAACAUUAGGAAACCUCAGCUC